GACGUAGGGCGCGAGCGUUGUCCGGAUUUAUUGGGCGUAAAGAGCUCGUAGGCGGCUUGUCGCGUCGACUGUGAAAACCCGUGGCUCAACCGCGGGCCUGCAGUCGAUACGGGCAGGCUAGAGUUCGGUAGGGGAGACUGGAAUUCCUGGUGUAGCGGUGAAAUGCGCAGAUAUCAGGAGGAACACCAAUGGCGAAGGCAGCUCGCUGGGACGUGACUGACGCUGAGACGCGAAAGCGUGGGGAGCAAACAGG
rnacentral:rRNA from 1 species